rnacentral:rRNA from 1 species
UACAGAGGUCCCAAGCGUUGUUCGGAUUCACUGGGCGUAAAGGGUGCGUAGGCGGUCGGGUAAGUCUGAUGUGAAAUCUCACAGCUUAACUGUGAAACUGCAUAGGAUACUAUCCGGCUCGAGGAAUGGAGGGGAGACUGGAAUACUUGGUGUAGCAGUGAAAUGCGUAGAUAUCAAGUGGAACACCAGUGGCGAAGGCGAGUCUCUGGACAUUUCCUGACGCUGAGGCACGAAAGCCAGGGGAGCAAACGGG